rnacentral:rRNA from 1 species
UAGUCGCCGCGGGAAAACGUAGGUGGCAAGCGUUGUCCGGAAUUAUUGGGCGUAAAGGGCUCGCAGGCGGUUUCUUAAGUCUGAUGUGAAAGCCCCCGGCUCAACCGGGGAGGGUCAUUGGAAACUGGGAAACUUGAGUGCAGAAGAGGAGAGUGGAAUUCCACGUGUAGCGGUGAAAUGCGUAGAGAUGUGGAGGAGCACCAGUGGCGAAGGCGACUCUCUGGUCUGUAACUGACGCUGAGGAGCGAAAGCGUGGGGAGCGAACAGGAUUAGAUACCCCAGUAGUCCCUGUCUCUUAACC